rnacentral:rRNA from 1 species
AGAAUCAACGCUGGCGGCGUGCCUAACACAUGCAAGUCGAACGAGAAAGUGGAGCAAUCCAUGAGUAAAGUGGCGCACGGGUGAGUAACACGUGACUAACCUACCCUUGAGUGGGGGAUAACCUAGAGAAAUCUGGGCUAAUACCGCAUAAUACCUUCGGGUCAAAGGAGCAAUUCGCUUAAGGAGGGGGUCGCGGCCGAUUAGUUAGUUGGCGGGUAAUGGCCCACCAAGACUAUGAUCGGUAUCCGGCCUGAGAGGGCGCACGGACACACUGGAACUGAAACACGGUCCAGACUCCUACGGGAGGCAGCAGUGGGGAAUUUUGCGCAAUGGGGGAAACCCUGACGCAGCAACGCCGCGUGGAGGAUGAAAGUCCCUUGGGACGUAAACUCCUUUCGAUCGGGACGAUAAUGACGGUACCGAGAGAAGAAGCCCGGCUAACUCGUGCCAGCAGCCGC